GUGGGGAAUCUUAGACAAUGGGGGAAACCCUGAUCUAGCCAUGCCGCGUGAGCGAUGAAGGCCUUAGGGUUGUAAAGCUCUUUCAGCUGGGAAGAUAAUGACGGUACCAGCAGAAGAAGCCCCGGCUAACUCCGUGCCAGCAGCCGCGGUAAUACGGAGGGGGCUAGCGAUGUUCGGAAUUACUGGGCGUAAAGCGCGCGUAGGCGGACCAGAAAGUUGGAGGUGACAUCCCAGGGCUCAACCUUGGAGCUGCCUUCAAAACUCCUGGUCUGGAGUUCGAGAGAGGUGAGUGGAAUUCCGGGUGUAGAGGUGAAAUUCGUAGAUAUUCGGAGGAACACCAGUGGCGAAGGCGGCUCACUGGCUCGAUACUGACGCUGAGGUGCGAAAGCGUGGGGAGCAAACAGGAUUAGAAACCCUUGUAGUCC
rnacentral:rRNA from 1 species